CAACAUAAUGUUAGGAAUAAUUUAACAAUAGAUAAUGUAAGUAUACAUACAUAAAUGCUAUUCAUUGUUCAUCAGAGAAGAAACAUCACACAAUUAUUAACGUGAUAAAUAACAGUGUUUUAUUUACUGGUGUAUGGUACGUCUACAUAGAUUAUAAUUGUAAGUGUUUAUAGAGUCGAUGCGGAUCAUUUCGUGGAAUAGCCUCAUUUGCGGACUAUAGUAAAUCACAGGUGACGUCACUGCACUACUGCAGUAUUUAACAUACGGGUCUUUGCGACCUAGUUUGAGACCGUGUACAGUUAAAAGUUAUGGAUCACCUCGUGUGAUUUUUAUCGGUUUAGACAGACGCGUGUUUUUAACAGAUGUCGGUGCAAAAUUAAUUGGAUAUCACCCGCGAAUUGAGGUUGCAAAGACGAUCAUGGAAUGGAAUGCCUUCAUAGCGGCCAGUUUCUACAGGGAGGAGGUGGUUGGCAGUGCGGAAUCUAAAGAUACUUUGGGACUCAUCGGGAUGAAUUUUAAUCAGGUCAGAGGCACUACUUGAGACAAUGACGGUGUCAUCUGCAUACAAUAGGACCAGAAGCUUAAGCCACAAUAUUGCAGUAUCUGGGUUGAUAAGUUCAACCCCAACAGAUCCAUUUAUAUGCAGGUAUGAAUGAAGGUCAUUUAAGAAAAGCGAGAAAAGUACUGGUGAUAAAUUUUCUCCUUGCCUUACUCC